rnacentral:rRNA from 1 species
GCUGACGAGCGGCGGACGGGUGAGUAAUGCCUAGGGAACUGCCCAGUCGAGGGGGAUAACAGUUGGAAACGACUGCUAAUACCGCAUACGCCCUACGGGGGAAAAGAGGGGACCUUCGGGCCUUCUGCGAUUGGAUGUACCUAGGUGGGAUUAGCUAGUUGGUGAGGUAAUGGCUCACCAAGGCGACGAUCCCUAGCUGUUCUGAGAGGAUGAUCAGCCACACUGGGACUGAGACACGGCCCAGACUCCUACGGGAGGCAGCAGUGGGGAAUAUUGCACAAUGGGCGCAAGCCUGAUGCAGCCAUGCCGCGUGUGUGAAGAAGGCCUUCGGGUUGUAAAGCACUUUCAGCGAGGAGGAAAGCUUAAGCGUUAAUAGCGUUUAGGUGUGACGUUACUCGCAGAAGAAGGACCGGCUAACUUCGUGCCAGCAGCCGCGGUAAUACGAGGGGUCCAAGCGUUAAUCGGAAUUACUGGGCGUAAAGCGUACGCAGGCGGUUUGUUAAGCGAGAUGUGAAAGCCCCGGGCUCAACCUGGGAAUUGCAUUUCGAACUGGCAAACUAGAGUCUUGUAGAGGGGGGUAGAAUUUCAGGUGUAGCGGUGAAAUGCGUAGAGAUCUGAAGGAAUACCGGUGGCGAAGGCGGCCCCCUGGACAAAGACUGACGCUCAGGUACGAAAGCGUGGGGAGCAAACAGGAUUAGAUACCCUGGUAGUCCACGCCGUAAACGAUGUCUACUCGGAAUUUGGUGUCUUGAACACUGGGUUCCCAAGCUAACGCAUUAAGUAGACCGCCUGGGGAGUACGGCCGCAAGGUUAAAACUCAAAUGAAUUGACGGGGGCCCGCACAAGCGGUGGAGCAUGUGGUUUAAUUCGAUGCAACGCGAAGAACCUUACCUACUCUUGACAUCCAGAGAAUUCGCUAGAGAUAGCUUAGUGCCUUCGGGAGCUCUGAGACAGGUGCUGCAUGGCUGUCGUCAGCUCGUGUUGUGAAAUGUUGGGUUAAGUCCCGCAACGAGCGCAACCCUUAUCCUUAUUUGCCAGCACGU